UGGCACACAGAAACACCCAACAAUAAUGCCUUUCCCACUAGGUUUUCUAUCUGCUACCUUGUUAGCAAUCAGCCUAUUGGGAACAUUU
rnacentral:snoRNA from 1 species